ACCUGCCCAUUGAGAUUUAAAAGGCCGCGGUAUUAUGACCGUGCUAAGGUAGCAUAAUCAUUAGUCUUUUAAUUGGAGGCUGGAAUGAAUGGUCGGACAAGAGAUAAGCUGUCUUAAGUAAAAAUAUUGAAUUUAACUUUUAAGUGAAAAGGCUUAAAUUUUCUAGGGGGACGAUAAGACCCUAUAAAACUUUAUAUUUUGAAAUAAUAAUUAAUUUUAUAUGGGAGUUUUAUUUUUAAAUAUUUUAUUGGGGUGAUAAGGAUAAAAUAACAAAUAACUGUCUUUUUUUAUUACAAUAAUAUUUGAGCAAAUGAACCUAGUAAGGGAAAGAAGAUUAAGUUACUUUAGGGAUAACAGCGUAAUUUUUUUUUAAGAGUUCUUAUCGACAAGAAAGUUUGCGACCUCGAUGUUGAAUUAAAAGUUCUUUAUAGAGCAGAAACUAUAAAAGAAGGUCUGUUCGACCUUUAAAAUUUUAC
rnacentral:rRNA from 1 species